GACGAACGCUGGCGGCGUGCUUAACACAUGCAAGUCGAACGAGUGGCGAACGGGUGAGUAAUACGUGGGUAACCUGCCCUCUUUUUGGGAUAAGCCUUGGAAACGGGGUCUAAUACCGAUUAACGGGGGAUGGGCUCGCGGCCUAUCAGCUUGUUGGUGGGGUGAUGGCCUACCAAGGCGGUGACGGGUAGCCGGUCGGAGAGGGGAACCGGACACGUUGGGACGGAGAUACGUCUCAGACGCCUACGGGAGGCGGCAAUGGGAGAUAAAGGAAAAUGGGCGUAAGCCGGAUGCGGCGACGGCACGUAGGGGAUGGGGGCUUACGGGUUGUGAACCUCUUUAGCAAUGGAACGGGUAGGUGGGGAAGAAGCGCCGGCUAACUACGUGCCAGCAGCCGCGGUAAUUC
rnacentral:rRNA from 1 species